rnacentral:rRNA from 1 species
GACGUAGGGCGCGAGCGUUGUCCGGAUUUAUUGGGCGUAAAGAGCUCGUAGGCGGCUCGUUGCGUCGGCUGUGAAAACCCACAGCUUAACUGUGGGCCUGCAGCCGAUACGGGCAGGCUAGAGUUCGGUAGGGGAGACUGGAAUUCCUGGUGUAGCGGUGAAAUGCGCAGAUAUCAGGAGGAACACCGGUGGCGAAGGCGGGUCUCUGGGCCGAUACUGACGCUGAGGAGCGAAAGCGUGGGGAGCAAACAGG